GGUAAAAAACGGCCAAUUUGACGAUACCUUCCCGUGGAAGAAAGUGAAGUGCCCACGUCAGCCCAACAAGAGCUCCCAUUGUGGAUAUUGCGUGAUGAAAUUUAUGAAGGAGAUAAUUCUGCACAAUGCUGACACAAUUCCCACGCAGUACUUUGCCGACACAUAUUGCACAGUGUAUUCAUCUGCUCAGAUGGAAGAAAUCGUUGAGGAGUUGGCGAUGGCCUUAUUCCGUCAGUGGGCACAACAUAGAUAGGGAAGUGUACAUUAAGACAGUGUAUGUACGUACAGCUAGCUUUGGUUUCAAUAUAAUUUUGGUUUUGGUUCAUUUUUGGCUGUUGGUUAGUUUUAGGCAUUGCACAACUUUGGCAAUUGGCUAAUUUUGGAAUUGGUUCACCUUUUUGUACUUGCCAGAAUUUUAAUAUAUCACAGUUGGUUUUCAUUGGUUCA